rnacentral:rRNA from 1 species
CUUAUCUCAAAGAUUAAGCCAUGCAAAUAUAAGAUCACGCUCAUGUACAGCGUAUCGGUGGACGGCUCUGUAAUACAGACAUGAUUCCUUAGAUCUUACAUCCCUUACUUGGAUAACUGUAGUAAUUCUAGAGCUAAUACAUGCCAAUUUAUACUUCGGUCUCUACUGAUCGGAGUGGAUUUAUUAGUACAAAAUCAACCUGUUUUUUUUAACAGUCGGUUUGUUGACUCUGGAUAACUCUACCUGAUCGCAUGGCCUUGUGCCAGCGACGUAUCUUCCAAGUGUCUGCCCUAUCAACUUUCGAUGGUGGGUUAUAUGCCUACCAUGGUUAUGACGGGUGACGGGGAAUCAGGGUUCGAUUCCGGAGAGGGAGCCUUAGAAAUGGCUGCUACAUCUAAGGAAGGCAGCAGGCGCGCAACUUACCCACUGCUACUGUCAGCGAGGUAGUGACGAUUAAUAACAAUACAGAACUCUUUUGAGGCUCUGUAAUUGAUUGAGUACAAUUUAAAUCCUUUAACAAGGACAAUUGGAGGGCAAGUCUGG